AUGUUGUUUUUAAACUCACUACAUACUAAAAAUGAUGUGGGCCUUGGUGCAACUAUGAAACAGAGAUGCUUGAUUGUUAUGUUGUUAAUUAUCUGUGGUGAUGUGCAGCCAAAUCCUGGCCCGGUUGAUAUUGGCUCUAAGAUCUGCAAUACUCCAGCUGAUUUCAAAAACAGGUCUGGAUUGGGUAUUAUUCAUUUGAAUAUGCGAAGUAUGCUCCCUAAAAUUGAUUCCUUACGUAUUUGGGCAAAAUCCACCGAUGCAGAUAUUAUAAUUCUUUCAGAAACAUGGCUCUCCAAAUUAGUCACAGAUAAAGACAUUGUUGUCAGUGGAUACAAUGUCUACAGAACUGACCGACCUCGAAAGGCUGGGGGUGUGGCUAUAUAUGUAAAGAGUAAGUUCAUUGCUAAUGUAGUUUUGUCCAUAUCUGUGAGUAAACAACUUGAAUUUUUGGCCCUAAAUGUUGAGGUGUACGAAGGUAUGACUGUCACUGUUGUUGGAAGCUACAGACCACCCUCUGCUGUAGCUGACACCCUUCAGAUGCUGUCACAGCUUUUAUCACAGCUGCAGUACAGUGAGAUUGUUCUAGCAGGCGAUAUGAAUUGGGACUGGUUCAAACCUGCUUCAGACGGAUUGAAGUGUCUUUGCAAUGAUUUAAAUCUUACACAAUUAAUUGAAUCUCCUACUCACCCAAAUCCAAAAAACCAAGAGAAAUCUACUCUAAUUUAUUUGCUAUUGACUAAUUCUCCCCAUAAAUUCUCUGAAAUUGGUGUGUUUGCUAAUGACAUCAGUGAUCAUUGUACAAUUGCUGCAGUUAGAAAUGCCAAAAUUCCAAAAUCCAGGCCUCGAUGCAUUGAAAAACGUGAUAUGAAACAUUUUUCCUUACAAGGUUUUACGCAUUAUUUAUUUUAUUUUAACUGGGACAGCAUUAGGCUUAUUGAUGAUGUUGAAAUAGCUUGGAAAUACUUUCAUGAUGGAUUUUUGCAACUUAUUAACAAACAUGCUCCUUUACGUAAGUUCAGAGUCAAGGGACGAGAUAACCCUUGCUUUUCGACGGAGCUUAGCAACCUUCUUCAUGAGAGGGAUGUGGCUUGGGCAAAGGCUAGGAAAUCAGAAGUGGAAGCCGAUAGGAUUAAUUUCAGAUGGCUACGAAACCAGUUCACAGCAGCUGUCCGACAUGCCAAAUCUGAAUACUAUCUAACGGCUAUUACAGACAAUCUAAAUAACCCUAGGACUUUUUGGAAGUCUAUCAAGUCAGUUUCUUUAACUAAAUCUUGUAAUGAACUGCCUCCCCAUAUCAUCAGGGAUAAUUUUACUAUCUCGGAUAGAUUGGCGAUGCUAGAGUGUUUUAUUGAACAUUUUGUUGCAUCUGGUUCUUUGCUUGACAAAUCUCUACCUCCAAAAACCUCCCCUUAUAAUGGUAAUGUUGCUGGAAGAUGUUGUGUUAGUCAGCCUUUUCCUUUUACCUUUACCCCGUUUUCACUCAAUGAUGUACAUAAAGCCCUAAUGUCAUUGGACAUCAAAAAGCCUGCUGGCCCAGAUUAUCUAGAGCCAUAUUUCUUAAAGAUUGCUGCAGACUUUAUUGCUAAACCGCUCAUGUAUAUUUUUAAUUUGUCUUUGGAUCAGAAUGUUAUGCCAUCAAUCUGGAAAUCUGCCCAUGUCUUUCCCUUGUUAAAGGGAGGAGAUCCUGCCUUGUUAAACAACUAUAGGCCUAUCUCCAAUUUGUCUGUGCUGUCAAAGGUCUUAGAACGACUAGUAAGUGAACAACUGAAAGAAUUCCUAAGUGUUAAUAAUAUUCUCUCAGAGUUUCAGUCGGGUUUCCGAAAGGAACACAGUACCAUCUCUGACUUUUCGAAGUUUGAGAAAGACAUUAUUGAGGCAUUGGACAGCAAAAAGAUGUGUGCAGCUCUUUUCAUUGACCUUUCCAAAGCUUUUGAUACAGUGAACCAUUGUAUUUUAAAACAGAGACUGCUCAAUAUUGGUCUUUCUGAGAAGGCAGCUGGUUGGUUUGAAAAUUAUCUCUCAGAUAGGACUCAGUGCAUCACCUUUGACGGUAUCUUUUCAGGUUUCUUACAAGUUGUAUCAGGGGUCCCACAGGGAUCGGUGCUGGGCCCACUUUAUUUACCAUUUAUGUAA
ensembl:lncRNA